CUAAACAAUGCAAGUCGAGGGGUAACAGGGAAGAGCUUGCUCUUUCGCUGACGACCGGCGCACGGGUGCGUAACGCGUAUACAACCUACCUUUUGGAGGGGAAUAGCCCAGGGAAACUUGGAUUAAUGCCCCAUAGUAUGGGAAUAUCUCCUGAUAUUUUCAUUAAACAUUUAUGGCCAUUAGAUGGGUAUGCGUCCUAUUAGUUAGUUGGUAAGGUAACGGCUUACCAAGGCAGCGAUAGGUAGGGGUCCUGAGAGGGAGAUCCCCCACACUGGUACUGAGACACGGACCAGACUCCUACGGGAGGCAGCAGUGAGGAAUAUUGGACAAUGGGCGAGAGCCUGAUCCAGCCAUGCCGCGUGCAGGAAGACUGCCCUAUGGGUUGUAAACUGCUUUUACAGAGGAAGAACCACUCCCACGUGUGGGAGUUUGACGGUACUCUGCGAAUAAGGAUCGGCUAACUCCGUGCCAGCAGCCGCGGUAAUACGGAGGAUCCAAGCGUUAUCCGGAAUCAUUGGGUUUAAAGGGUCCGUAGGCGGGCAGUUAAGUCAGUGGUGAAAGUCUUCCGCUCAACGGGAGAACUGCCAUUGAUACUGAUUGUCUUGAGUUAUUAUGAAGUGGUUAGAAUGAGUAGUGUAGCGGUGAAAUGCAUAGAUAUUACUCAGAAUACCGAUUGCGAAGGCAGAUCACUAAUAAUAUACUGACGCUGAUGGACGAAAGCGUAGGUAGCGAACAGGAUUAGAUACCCUGGUAGUCUACGCCGUAAACGAUGGUUACUAGCUGUUCGGCCCGAUUAAGGGCUGAGUGGUUAAGCGAAAGUGAUAAGUAACCCACCUGGGGAGUACGUUCGCAAGAAUGAAACUCAAAGGAAUUGACGGGGGCCCGCACAAGCGGUGGAGCAUGUGGUUUAAUUCGAUGAUACGCGAGGAACCUUACCAGGGCUUAAAUGUAGUCUGACAGGAGUGGAAACACUUUUUUCUUCGGACAGAUUACAAGGUGCUGCAUGGUUGUCGUCAGCUCGUGCCGUGAGGUGUCAGGUUAAGUCCUAUAACGAGCGCAACCCCUGUGGUUAGUUGCCAGCGAGUAAUGUCGGGAACUCUAGCCAGACUGCCGGUGCAAACCGUGAGGAAGGUGGGGAUGACGUCAAAUCAUCACGGCCCUUACGUCCUGGGCCACACACGUGCUACAAUGGUAGGGACAGAGAGCAGCCACUUCGCGAGAAGGAGCGAAUCUACAAACCCUAUCACAGUUCGGAUCGCAGUCUGCAACUCGACUGCGUGAAGCUGGAAUCGCUAGUAAUCGCAUAUCAGCCAUGAUGCGGUGAAUACGUUCCCGGGCCUUGUACACACCGCCCGUCAAGCCAUGGAAGCCGGGGGUACCUGAAGUCGGUCACCGCAAGGAGCCGCCUAGGGUAAAACUGGUAACUGGGCUAAGUCGUAA
rnacentral:rRNA from 1 species